CCUACGGGAGGCAGCAGUCGGGAAUAUUGCGCAAUGGAGGAAACUCUGACGCAGUGACGCCGCGUGCAGGAAGAAGGUUUUCGGAUUGUAAACUGCUUUAGACAGGGAAGAAAAAAGACAGUACCUGUAGAAUAAGCUCCGGCUAACUACGUGCCAGCAGCCGCGGUAAUACGUAGGGAGCAAGCGUUAUCCGGAUUUAUUGGGUGUAAAGGGUGCGUAGACGGAGAAGCAAGUUAGUUGUGAAAUCCCUCGGCUUAACUGAGGAACUGCAACUAAAACUACUUCCCUUGAGUACUGGAGAGGAAAGUGGAAUUCCUAGUGUAGCGGUGAAAUGCGUAGAUAUUAGGAGGAACACCAGUGGCGAAGGCGACUUUCUGGACAGUAACUGACGUUGAGGCACGAAAGUGUGGGGAGCAAACAGGAUUAGAUACCCCAGUAGUC
rnacentral:rRNA from 1 species